rnacentral:misc_RNA from 1 species
GAUGAAGAACGCAGUGAAAUGCGAUACGUAAUGUGAAUUGCAGAAUUCAGUGAAUCAUCGAGUCUUUGAACGCACAUUGCGCCCCCUGGUAUUCCGGGGGGCAUGCCUGUCCGAGCGUCAUUAAGUCCACUUAAGCCCUGCUUAGUGUUGGGAGACUGCUCCAGCGGUGCUACCCUGUAGCUACCCUGCAGCUCCUCAAAGACAGCGGCGGAGUUGUGGUAUCCUCUGAGCUUAGUAACUUGUUCUAGCUUUCGAGUACACCACUUCCCCUGCCGUAAAACCCUUAAUUUUUAAUGGUUGACCUCGGAUCAGGUAGGAAUACCCGCUGAACUUAAGCAUAUCAAUAAGCGGAGA